rnacentral:rRNA from 1 species
CCAGACUCCUACGGGAGGCAGCAGUGGGGAAUCUUCCGCAAUGGACGAAAGUCUGACGGAGCAACGCCGCGUGAGUGAUGACGGCCUUCGGGUUGUAAAGCUCUGUUAAUCGGGACGAAAGGCCUUCUUGCGAAUAGUGAGAAGGAUUGACGGUACCGGAAUAGAAAGCCACGGCUAACUACGUGCCAGCAGCCGCGGUAAUACGUAGGUGGCAAGCGUUGUCCGGAAUUAUUGGGCGUAAAGCGCGCGCAGGCGGAUAGGUCAGUCUGUCUUAAAAGUUCGGGGCUUAACCCCGUGAUGGGAUGGAAACUGCCAAUCUAGAGUAUCGGAGAGGAAAGUGGAAUUCCUAGUGUAGCGGUGAAAUGCGUAGAUAUUAGGAAGAACACCAGUGGCGAAGGCGACUUUCUGGACGAAAACUGACGCUGAGGCGCGAAAGCCAGGGGAGCGAACGGGAUUAGAUACCCCGGUAGUCCUGGCCGUAAACGAUGGG